rnacentral:rRNA from 1 species
AGGACGAACGCUGGCGGCGUGCCUAAUACAUGCAAGUCGAACGAACUCUGGUAUUGAUUGGUGCUUGCAUCAUGAUUUACAUUUGAGUGAGUGGCGAACUGGUGAGUAACACGUGGGAAACCUGCCCAGAAGCGGGGGAUAACACCUGGAAACAGAUGCUAAUACCGCAUAACAACUUGGACCGCAUGGUCCGAGUUUGAAAGAUGGCUUCGGCUAUCACUUUUGGAUGGUCCCGCGGCGUAUUAGCUAGAUGGUGGGGUAACGGCUCACCAUGGCAAUGAUACGUAGCCGACCUGAGAGGGUAAUCGGCCACAUUGGGACUGAGACACGGCCCAAACUCCUACGGGAGGCAGCAGUAGGGAAUCUUCCACAAUGGACGAAAGUCUGAUGGAGCAACGCCGCGUGAGUGAAGAAGGGUUUCGGCUCGUAAAACUCUGUUGUUAAAGAAGAACAUAUCUGAGAGUAACUGUUCAGGUAUUGACGGUAUUUAACCAGAAAGCCACGGCUAACUACGUGCCAGCAGCCGCGGUAAUACGUAGGUGGCAAGCGUUGUCCGGAUUUAUUGGGCGUAAAGCGAGCGCAGGCGGUUUUUUAAGUCUGAUGUGAAAGCCUUCGGCUCAACCGAAGAAGUGCAUCGGAAACUGGGAAACUUGAGUGCAGAAGAGGACAGUGGAACUCCAUGUGUAGCGGUGAAAUGCGUAGAUAUAUGGAAGAACACCAGUGGCGAAGGCGGCUGUCUGGUCUGUAACUGACGCUGAGGCUCGAAAGUAUGGGUAGCAAACAGGAUUAGAUACCCUGGUAGUCCAUACCGUAAACGAUGAAUGCUAAGUGUUGGAGGGUUUCCGCCCUUCAGUGCUGCAGCUAACGCAUUAAGCAUUCCGCCUGGGGAGUACGGCCGCAAGGCUGAAACUCAAAGGAAUUGACGGGGGCCCGCACAAGCGGUGGAGCAUGUGGUUUAAUUCGAAGCUACGCGAAGAACCUUACCAGGUCUUGACAUACUAUGCAAAUCUAAGAGAUUAGACGUUCCCUUCGGGGACAUGGAUACAGGUGGUGCAUGGUUGUCGUCAGCUCGUGUCGUGAGAUGUUGGGUUAAGUCCCGCAACGAGCGCAACCCUUAUUAUCAGUUGCCAGCAUUAAGUUGGGCACUCUGGUGAGACUGCCGGUGACAAACCGGAGGAAGGUGGGGAUGACGUCAAAUCAUCAUGCCCCUUAUGACCUGGGCUACACACGUGCUACAAUGGAUGGUACAACGAGUUGCGAACUCGCGAGAGUAAGCUAAUCUCUUAAAGCCAUUCUCAGUUCGGAUUGUAGGCUGCAACUCGCCUACAUGAAGUCGGAAUCGCUAGUAAUCGCGGAUCAGCAUGCCGCGGUGAAUACGUUCCCGGGCCUUGUACACACCGCCCGUCACACCAUGAGAGUUUGUAACACCCAAAGUCGGUGGGGUAACCUUUUAGGAACCAGCCGCCUAAGGUGGGACAGAUGAU